rnacentral:rRNA from 1 species
AGUGAACGCUGGCGGCGUGCUUAACACAUGCAAGUCGAACGGAUCAAAGUAGCUUGCUAUUUUGGUUAGUGGCGCACGGGUGAGUAAUGUAUAGCUAACCUGCCCUUUAGUGGGGGACAACAGUUGGAAACGACUGCUAAUACCCCAUACUCCUUCUUGCCAUACGGUGAGUCGGGAAAGAUUUAUUGCUAAAGGAUGGGGCUUUAUUGUAUCAGCUAGUUGGUGGGGUAAUGGCUCACCAAGGCUAUGACGCAUACCUGGUCUGAGAGGAUGAUCAGGCACACUGGAACGGAGACACGGUCCAGACUCCUACGGGAGGCAGCAGUGGGGAAUAUUGCACAAUGGAGGAAACUCUGAUGCAGCAACGCCGCGUGGAGGAUGACGCAUUUCGGUGUGUAAACUCCUUUUAUAAGGGAAGAUAAUGACGGUACCUUAUGAAUAAGCACCGGCUAACUCCGUGCCAGCCGCCGCAGUAA